CGUUGUUGGGUAGGGGAGCGUUCUGUAAGCCGUUGAAGGUGGCCUGUGAGGGUUGCUGGAGGUAUCAGAAGUGCGAAUGCUGACAUAAGUAACGAUAAUGCGGGUGAAAAACCCGCACGCCGGAAGACCAAGGGUUCCUGUCCAACGUUAAUCGGGGCAGGGUGAGUCGACCCCUAAGGCGAGGCUGAAAAGCGUAGUCGAUGGGAAACAGGUUAAUAUUCCUGUACUCGGUGUUACUGCGAAGGGGGGACGGAGACGGCUAUGUCAUCCGGGCGACGGUUGUCCCGGUUUAAGCGUGCAGGUGGGUGGACCAGGCAAAUCCGGUCUGCUGUCAACACUGAGGCGUGAUGACGAGGCACUACGGUGCUGAAGUGACAGAUGCCCUGCUUCCAGGAAAAGCCUCUAAGCAUCAGGUAACAGUGAAUCGUACCCCAAACCGACACAGGUGGUCAGGUAGAGAAUACUCAGGCGCUUGAGAGAACUCGGGUGAAGGAACUAGGCAAAAUGGUGCCGUAACUUCGGGAGAAGGCACGCUGGGCAUGGUGAAGUCCCCUGCGGACGGAGCUGGGCCCAGUCGCAGAUACCAGCUGGCUGCAACUGUUUAAUAAAAACACAGCACUGUGCAAACACGAAAGUGGACGUAUACGGUGUGACGCCUGCCCGGUGCCGGAAGGUUAAUUGAUGGGGUUAUCCGCAAGGAGAAGCUCUUGAUCGAAGCCCCGGUAAACGGCGGCCGUAACUAUAACGGUCCUAAGGUAGCGAAAUUCCUUGUCGGGUAAGUUCCGACCUGCACGAAUGGCGUAAUGAUGGCCAGGCUGUCUCCACCCGAGACUCAGUGAAAUUGAACUCGCUGUGAAGAUGCAGUGUACCCGCGGCAAGACGGAAAGACCCCGUGAACCUUUACUAUAGCUUGACACUGAACCUUGAACCUUGAUGUGUAGGAUAGGUGGGAGGCUGAGAAAUGUGGACGCCAGUCUGCAUGGAGCCAACCUUGAAAUACCACCCUUUAAUGUUUGAUGUUCUAACGUGGGCCCGUGAACCGGGUUGCGGACAGUGUCUGGUGGGUAGUUUGACUGGGGCGGUCUCCUCCCAAAGCGUAACGGAGGAGCACGAAGGUUAGCUAAUCCUGGUCGGACAUCAGGAGGUUAGUGCAAAGGCAUAAGCUAGCUUGACUGCGAGAGUGACGGCUCGAGCAGGUGCGAAAGCAGGUCUUAGUGAUCCGGUGGUUCUGAAUGGAAGGGCCAUCGCUCAACGGAUAAAAGGUACUCCGGGGAUAACAGGCUGAUACCGCCCAAGAGUUCAUAUCGACGGCGGUGUUUGGCACCUCGAUGUCGGCUCAUCACAUCCUGGGGCUGAAGUAGGUCCCAAGGGUAUGGCUGUUCGCCAUUUAAAGUGGUACGCGAGCUGGGUUUAGAACGUCGUGAGACAGUUCGGUCCCUAUCUGCCGUGGGCGUUGGAAGAUUGAGGGGGGUUGCUCCUAGUACGAGAGGACCGGAGUGAACGCACCGCUGGUGUUCGGGUUGUCAUGCCAAUGGCACUGCCCGGUAGCUACGUGCGGAAGAGAUAACCGCUGAAAGCAUCUAAGCGGGAAACUUGCCCCGAGAUGAGUCUUCCCUGGGUCCUUGAGACCCCUGAAGGGACGUUCGAGACGAGGACGUUGAUAGGCUGGGUGUGUAAGCGUAGCGAUACGUUGAGCUAACCAGUACUAAUGACCCGAGAGGCUUAACCUU
rnacentral:rRNA from 1 species